rnacentral:rRNA from 1 species
AUUGAACGCUGGCGGCAGGCUUAACACAUGCAAGUCGAGCGGGGGAAGGUAGCUUGCUACCGGACCUAGCGGCGGACGGGUGAGUAAUGCUUAGGAAUCUGCCUAUUAGUGGGGGACAACAUCUCGAAAGGGAUGCUAAUACCGCAUACGUCCUACGGGAGAAAGCAGGGGAUCUUCGGACCUUGCGCUAAUAGAUGAGCCUAAGUCGGAUCAGCUAGUUGGUGGGGUAAAGGCCUACCAAGGCGACGAUCUGUAGCGGGUCUGAGAGGAUGAUACGCCACACUGGGACUGAGAAACGGCCCAGACUCCUACGGGAGGCAGCAGUGGGGAAUAUUGGACAAUGGGGGGAACCCUGAUCAAGCCAUGCCGCGUGUGUGAAGAAGGCCUUAUGGUUGUAAAGCACUUUAAGCGAGGAGGAGGCUACUUUAGUUAAUACCUAGAGAUAGUGGACGUUACUCGCAGAAUAAGCACCGGCUAACUCUGUGCCAGCCGCCGCCGUAA